CCGAGUGCAAACUCACCAACCCAUGUGAACAUACCUUCUGUUGCUUCGGCGGGAUCGCCCUGGGCGCCUCGUGGUGCCCCGGAUCAGGCACCCGCCGAGGGAUACUUAACUCUUGAUUUUAGUUGGAUCUAUCUGAGUAGCUUUAGGCAACAAAUGAAUAA
rnacentral:misc_RNA from 1 species